rnacentral:misc_RNA from 1 species
GUUUCCGUAGGUGAACCUGCGGAAGGAUCAUUCAUAAUAAGUGUUUUAUGGCACUUUUUUAAAUCCAUAUCCACCUUGUGUGCAAUGUCAGGGUUGGCCUCUUUUGAUCAGCCCCAAACAUCAACUAUUAUCUCAACUCUUUGUCUGAAAAAUAUUAUGAAUAAAACAAUUCAAAAUACAACUUUCAACAACGGAUCUCUUGGCUCUC